rnacentral:rRNA from 1 species
UACGUAGGGGGCAAGCGUUGUCCGGAAUCAUUGGGCGUAAAGCGCGUGUAGGCGGUCCGGUAAGUCCGCUGUGAAAGUCGGGGGCUCAACCCUGGAAUGCCGGUGGAUACUGUCGGGCUCGAAUCCGGAAGAGGUGAGUGGAAUUCCUGGUGUAGCGGUGAAAUGCGCAGAUAUCAGGAGGAACACCAAUGGCGAAGGCAGCUCACUGGGACGGUAUUGACGCUGAGACGCGAAAGCGUGGGGAGCAAACAGG